GAUGAACGCUGGCGGCGUGCCUAAUACAUGCAAGUCGAGCGAACAGACGAGGAGCUUGCUCCUCUGACGUUAGCGGCGGACGGGUGAGUAACACGUGGAUAACCUACCUAUAAGACUGGGAUAACUUCGGGAAACCGGAGCUAAUACCGGAUAAUAUAUUGAACCGCAUGGUUCAAUAGUGAAAGACGGUUUUGCUGUCACUUAUAGAUGGUUCCGCGCCGCAUUAGCUAGUUGGUAAGGUAACGGCUUACCAAGGCAACGAUGCGUAGCCGACCUGAGAGGGGGAUCGGCCACACUGGAACUGAGACACGGUCCAGACUCCUACGGGAGGCAGCAGUAGGGAAUCUUCCGCAAUGGGCGAAAGCCUGACGGAGCAACGCCGCGUGAGUGAUGAAGGUCUUCGGAUCGUAAAACUCUGUUAUUAGGGAAGAACAAAUGUGUAAGUAACUAUGCACGUCUUGACGGUACCUAAUCAGAAAGCCACGGCUAACUACGUG
rnacentral:rRNA from 1 species